GAGGCCCUACGGGAGGCAGCAGUAGGGGAUAUUGCACAAUGGGGGAAACCCUGAUGCAGCGACGCCGCGUGGGUGAAGAAGCGCCUCGGCGCGUAAAGCCCUGUCAGCAGGGAAGAAAAUGACGGUAGCUAAAGAAGAAGCCCCGGCUAACUACGUGCCAGCAGCCGCGGUAAUACGUAGGGGGCAAGCGUUAUCCGGAUUUACUGGGUGUAAAGGGGGCGCAGACGGCGAUGGAAGCCAGGAGUGAAAGCCCG
rnacentral:rRNA from 1 species